CACGUAGGCGGCUAUGUAAGUUGGGGGUGAAAUCCCGGAGCUCAACUCCGGAACUGCCUUCAAAACUACAUAGCUAGAGGAUGUGAGAGGAGAGUGGAAUUCCGAGUGUAGAGGUGAAAUUCGUAGAUAUUCGGAAGAACACCAGUGGCGAAGGCGACUCUCUGGCACAUUUCUGACGCUGAGGUGCGAAAGCGUGGGGAGCAAACA
rnacentral:rRNA from 1 species